CAUUACAUUUUUGAAGUCAAAAUCAAGGUGUAAAUGACUCCAAAACUUUAAUAACAGAAGCCCUGCUACCAGGAUAUUUUUAACAUUCAUGAGCCAGCACUUUUUGCUGAUGAAAUAUUUUGUGUUGUUGUUUUAGGUCUGACAGCCAACAUACAUUUAAGAUCUUCAACUUAGUUCAUCAGAGUUUUGAAGUAGAUAAUAUGAUUAUCCAGCAUGUUGGAGCCAUAUUCUUCAAGGAAAUGUACUUAACACAUAGAUAGUUCACCUAUUUGCUGAUGAAUAUACUAAACUAUUGUUGAAAUGAGACACAAUGUGUGACAAAGUUCUAUGCCCUAUUGAGCACCAGGGUUAUGGAGUAAAAAAGACAAUCACUUGUAUCAACUGUACUGUAUUGGUCAAGAUAAAAAAACACUUCAAUUGGGAUGGCAUGUGAGAAGUCAAUGAUUUGUCUAUGUUUGACAGUAUACCAAAAGUGAAUUACAUUCUCAUAGAAUUUGUCUUUAGAAGUAUCCCUAAAAAAGCUGAAUACUACAGUGGGAGGUGUUACAAUAUUUUUACUUAAUUGUGAAACAAGUUUUUAUAUAUG